rnacentral:snRNA from 1 species
UGAUGUGAGGGCAAUCUGGCUGUGAUAUCUGUCACUCCAUUGAUUGCCAGGGUUGAUUUGGCUGAUCUGGCUGGCUAGGCAGGUAUCCCCUUCUUCCCACAUUGCUCAAUAUGCAUCCCUCCCUCCUGAAGCUGAGUGCUCAAAGAGGACAACCAUCCUGAUAUAGCAGGACCAGUCUUCACUCAAGGGUAUAUGAGUAGCUGCUCUUCCUAGCUAGAAACUCCAAACGAGCUCUCAAGGUCCGUUGUAGGAGAAUGUAGAGUAGUCAAACUUCCAAGAUAACAGACACAUCCAAAUGAGGCGCUGCAUGUGGCAGUCUGCCUUUU